CAGGGAGAGAAGAGAACCAGCAAACUACAGCAGUGAGCAGAUUAAAGGUCUUUCUUGGAAAAGAGAUGUUAUUGUCACGAUCGUUGGAAGCAUACUCGGACCAACGUGCAGUGUGAUCUGGGUUCCACAUCUUUUUUAUUUAAAAUUCAACUUCAUCAAUUGCCAUCUCAGUAAAGGUUUGUUUGUAUACAGUAGUUGUCACAUCCAUCUGAGGGGAUGUCAGAGGGAGCCUUUCCGCCAUAAUCCACCGGAAUGCAGAGACUGUCCCUUGGGAGCCACACAGAGCAUGUUUCCAGGAGAUGUCCAAGUAGGCUGUAGCAGGCAUGGAAUGCCAACUCAUGUUGCCCAUCCCCCAUGACCAGCCGAGCGACGAAACAAGACCCCAGGACCAACCGUGUGACAUCCUGAAGCAAGGCCCCAAAGACCAGCAGUGCGACAUCCUGAAGCAAGGUCACUGGAGCAACCCAUUGGAAAGAUCAUUCCAUCAUCCAGUCUGUCCUAAAGUUGUCAGGGGCCUCAUUUCUUAUUGUUGUAUACGCAUAAAAUAUGCCCCAAAAUGUGCGUGCGCCAUUUCAUGCGAAAGUUAGCUUUUAUAAAAACUGAACUUGACCUGAGAAUGUGCUUCUCCUCCCGCAAACUUUAGACCAUGUGUUUGCAGUUUCUAGUGGUUGAAGUAUUGCUUGGUAAGAAGGCAAAAGUAGCCUAGUAGUAGCCUUGUCCUUGUGCAAAUUGGGAAUCUAUGAUGAUGAAAAUUUAAUAAACGGGUAGCUAAAUAUAAUAAGAUGCAAUCAUUGGCCAUUUAUUUUAUCUGGGCUUAGCUAAAGACACGACAACAGUCAGCUCAGCUAUUCCCAUUGAGACUGUCUGUGCCUCAAUCUAGGUUGGGCAAAACUAAACAUGGCGUUGUUCGCAAUCUCCUCCAUUCCCGUCAUUAUUGAAAUAGAUUGUGAUAUCUCAUAUCUCAAAAU